GCCUGAGUUCAUAUAUUCUCCAUAAAAGAGCGUGCUAAGGGCAAAAUUGCCAGACCAAGGAUGCCAACCAGCAGGAUUAAUAGAGCCGUCAAUAAAGGACUGCAUUAUAACUGUCCUGGAAUAUUUCUGCCAAGGUCUUCCAAGAUACGUAAUCUUGGAACCUGCGAGGUCUGAAGCUGAUCCUAUCUUGCAAUUGUGUAUAGAAAUGCCUGUGUUCUGAUUAGGGUCAGUUCGACCUUGAGCUGUAACAAAGUUCUUGGAGCCUGAAGAAGGUUUCCUGGCAAAAAUGCUACAGUUCUGAAAAACGACAGCAGAAUUUCCAAAUAUGAA
rnacentral:misc_RNA from 1 species